rnacentral:pre_miRNA from 1 species
CUUAUACUAACUCCGUUCUAAAAUUAUUGUUUCAAAUUUGUCUGAAUACGGAUGUAUCUAGUUACAUUUUAGUGUUAGAUGCAUUCAUAUCUAGACAUAUGUAAGACAAGAAUUUUAGGACGGGUGGAGUGGUAU